UACGUAGGGGGCUAGCGUUGCUCGGAAUCACUGGGCGUAAAGCGCACGUAGGCGGCUUCUUAAGUCAGGGGUGAAAUCCUGGAGCUCAACUCCAGAACUGCCUUUGAUACUGAGAGGCUCGAGUCCGGGAGAGGUGAGUGGAACUCCGAGUGUAGAGGUGAAAUUCGUAGAUAUUCGGAAGAACACCAGUGGCGAAGGCGGCUCACUGGCCCGGUACUGACGCUGAGGUGCGAAAGCGUGGGGAGCAAACAGG
rnacentral:rRNA from 1 species